GGGCUUCUGAAGAAGGAGCCUCUCUGGAGUGCGGCGGAGGCGGCGCCUGCGAACCUAACUAGCUCCAGGUUAGGCCGGGCUUUGCGGGAAAGCAGCGGACUUGAAAAUACUGGAAAUCUGUCUGGAUCCAAAUUCUUUUGCAAGCCAGAUGAGUAACCAGAGGGCAUGAAAGGUUGAGAACAUUUGACUUCCCUGCAAACCUUGGUAUAGAUCACUUCCUUUUCUGUAGGAAAGGAAAGGCACCAAAGAGCACAAUGAGUACACUGGAGAUGAAAUUGUGGACCUCACUUGUGAAUCUUUAGAGCCUGUGGUGGUUGAUCUGACUCACAAUGACUCUGUUGUGAUUGUUGACGAAAGAAGAAGACCGAGGAGGAAUGCUAGGAGGCUGCCCCAGGACCAUGCUGACAGCUGCGUGGUGAGCAGUGACGAUGAGGAGUUGUCCAGGGACAGAGACGUGUAUGUGACUACCCACACUCCCAGAAAUGCCAGGGAUGAGGGCGCUGCAGGCCUCAG
rnacentral:sRNA from 1 species